rnacentral:rRNA from 1 species
AUAUCAAUAAGCGGAGGAAAAGAAACUAACAAGGAUUCCCCUAGUAACUGCGAGUGAAGCGGGAAAAGCUCAAAUUUAAAAUCUGGUGGUCUUUGGCCAUCCGAGUUGUAAUUUAGAGAAGCGACUUCCGCGCUGGACCGUGCACAAGUCUCCUGGAAUGGAGCGUCAUAGAGGGUGAGAAUCCCGUCUUUGGCACGGAUGCACCAGGGCUUUUGUGAUGCGCUCUCGAAGAGUCGAGUUGUUUGGGAAUGCAGCUCAAAAUGGGUGGUGAACUCCAUCUAAAGCUAAAUAUUGGCGAGAGACCGAUAGCGAACAAGUACCGUGAGGGAAAGAUGAAAAGCACUUUGGAAAGAGAGUGAAACAGUACGUGAAAUUGUUGAAAGGGAAACGCUUGAAGUCAGUCGCGUCGGUCGAGACUCAGCCUUGCCUCGGCUUGGCGUACUUCUCGGCUGACGGGUCAGCAUCAAUUUUGCCUCUCGAAUAAUGGCAAGGGAAAUGUGACACCUUUUAUAGGUGUGUUAUAGUCUCUUGUCGCAUGCGAGGGUCAGGAUUGAGGAACUCAGCACGCGCCUUUGGGUGUCGGGGCUUGGCCUACGAAACGUGCUUAGGAUGUUGGCGUAAUGGCUUUAAACGACCCGUCUUGAAACACGGACCAAGGAGUCUAACAUGCCCGCGAGUGUUUGGGUGGAAAACCCAUGCGCGCAAUGAAAGUGAAAGUUGGGACCUCUGUCGUGGAGGGCACCGACGCCCGGACCAGACCUUCUGUGACGGAUCUGCGGUAGAGCGUGUAUGUUAGGACCCGAAAGAUGGUGAACUAUGCCUGAAUAGGGUGAAGCCAGAGGAAACUCUGGUGGAGGCUCGUAGCGAUUCUGACGUGCAAAUCGAUCGUCAAAUUUGGGUAUAGGGGCGAAAGACUAAUCGAACCAUCUAGUAGCUGG